rnacentral:misc_RNA from 1 species
GAGUACCGCCCGCUGCUG